CAAAUGAUUGACGGGACCGCACAAGCGGUGGAUGAUGUGGUUUAAUUCGAUGCAACGCGAAAACCUUACCACCUUUGACAUGUACGGAAUCCUUUAGAGAUAGAGGAGUGCUCGAAAGAGAGCCGUAACACAGGUGCUGCAUGGCUGUCGUCAGCUCGUGUCGUGAGAUGUUGGGUUAAGUCCCGCAACGAGCGCAACCCUUGUCAUUAGUUGCUACAUUCAGUUGGGCACUCUAAUGAGACUGCCGGUGACAAGCCGGAGGAAGGUGGGGAUGACGUCAAGUCCUCAUGGCCCUUAUAGGUGGGGCUACACACGUCAUACAAUGGCUGGUACAAAGGGUUGCCAACCCGCGAGGGGGAGCCAAUCCCAUAAAGCCAGUCGUAGUCCGGAUCGUAGUCUGCAACUCGACUACGUGAAGUCGGAAUCGCUAGUAAUCGUGGAUCAGAAUGUCACGGUGAAUACGUUCCCGGGUCUU
rnacentral:rRNA from 1 species